rnacentral:rRNA from 1 species
CCUACGGGUGGCAGCAGUGAGGAAUAUUGGUCAAUGGACGCAAGUCUGAACCAGCCAUGCCGCGUGCAGGAAGACGGCUCUAUGAGUUGUAAACUGCUUUUGUACGAGGGUAAACGCAGAUACGCGUAUCUGUCUGAAAGGAUCGUACGAAUAAGGAACGGCAAACUCCGUGCCAGCAGCCGCGGUAAUACGGAGGAUUCAAGCGUUAUCCGGAUUUAUUGGGUUUAAAGGGUGCGUAGGCGGUCUGAUAAGUUAGAGGUGAAAUCCGGAGGCUCAACUUCGUAAUUGCCUCUGAUACUGUUCGUCUAGAGAGUAGUGGCGGUAGGCGGAAUGUAUGGUGUAGCGGUGAAAUGCUUAGAGAUCAUACAGAACACCGAUUGCGAAGGCAGCUUACCAAGCUACUUCUGACGUUGAGGCACGAAAGCGUGGGGAGCAAACAGGAUUAGAUACCCGAGUAGUC